UAUGAAGGUCAGGCUGAAGACCUUACCCGAUUAGCUGAGAGGUGGUGCAUGGCCGUCGUCAGUUCGUACUGUGAAGCAUCCUGUUAAGUCAGGCAACGAGCGAGACCCACGUCCACAGUUGCCAGCAUACCCUCCGGGGUGAUGGGUACACUGUGGAGACCGCCGCUGCUAAAGCGGAGGAAGGAGUGGGCAACGGUAGGUCAGUAUGCCCCGAAUCUCCCGGGCUACACGUGGGCUACAAUGGUUGGUACAAUGGGCAUCUACCCCGAAAGGGGAAGGAAAUCUCUUAAAGCCAAUCGUAGUUCGGAUUGAGGGCUGCAACUCGCCCUCAUGAAGCUGGAAUCCGUAGUAAUCGCGUUUCAACAGAACGCGGUGAAUACGUCCCUGCUCCUU
rnacentral:rRNA from 1 species